UUUAGGCGCUCCCCUUUUACUUAUAUUCCGCAGCUGUACUGAAACCCUUAGUUGUCUUGGAUCCCUGCGUGCUGUGCGGUGCCUCUCCUCAGCACGGGAACUGUGAGCUGUUUUCAACUUCUCUUCUUAGUGGCACUGAGCUCUCUAAAUUGCCACUCUACACACCUCUCUACAUUAAAACCCAGUCAGAGCUUAGACUGCAGCAAACAGAUACCCGCUAUGCUGAUCAAGGACGUGAUGUUUUCACUUAUGAAAGACUUAGCCCUGCAACUUCUAAGCCACAUGUUAUGGCUACUCCUCGAGGAAAAGUUGAUGCUGUUUUCCCCAGAGUAUAUAACAGAUCAACACACCGUGUUAAAUGAAAUCAUACAGUGGAGUUGUCGGUAUGCAGUGGAAACUGCUCUGACCUAUAUAAUCCGGAACAUGGCUGCUGUUGUCAAUAACUUGUUUAAGGGAAACAUUCUACAAAACUUCCCAUACUUCUCUAAGAAGGAGCGUCGUGAAGCAGCAUGUCUAUAUACAGUUUAAAAGAAACUAUAAAGGCAUAUGGAAAUUAUGUCCAGUCGUUGGAUUUUCCUUGCCUUUCUCGUGCAGUCUCAAAUGAAAAGAUCAAAUACGUUCCUGACACAAGCAGAAUAUAGGCGUGAUUGCAAUAACUGCUGAAAGUGAUUUUCUUUCAUCGAAAUCAGCUUUCUUCCAAUUUUGACAAAUUCGCUUGCCGAAGAAAUUUGAAACGGACUGAAAUAAAGCUGUUGCGAAAUGGCAUGCAGUCUGUGGUCUGUUUGUGUGGUGAGAUCUGUUGUGGGUUUCGGCGGGCUGUCGCUCAGGCGGUAAAAGAAGCUUCCAGACAGAACGAAAAGUUGAAUAGCUGCACUGCUACGGGCAAGAGUGGGCCAGAGACGGGAGGUGACCGUGUGAGCGCCGGGGUGACCGUGCCGGGUGUUUUUUUGAGGAAAGGGCUGCGAACCCAGAGGGAUGGUGGAGCGUGAUCAUGUCGUGAACAGAUUUCUGAUUGGCUACAAGUGAGUUGCAGGGAUCAUCCCUUGGAUCCACCACUCCAGGGUUAAGAGAGUGACUUCACCUCAGACAGAGGGUCCCUGGAGAAUUGAGAGCAUCCCGGGAGACCCGCUCAAGAUCAAGAUCAAGAGGGACCAGAAAAAGAUCGACGAGCCCUGCUCUAGCCACACCUGGAAGCUGGCUAGUCAACACACGGCCAAAGUUUGAGGAAAGCUCAACAAAACUGUUAAAUAUAUUCCUCUUGUGCUCCCUUGCCUCUUUCCUUGUUUGCUAUACUAGCCUGCAUAUUAGCAGUGGGGCUGGCCAGCACCGCCCCACCUGACUGGAAUAUAGGCCAUAGGAUCCUGAUAGCUAUUAUAUACCUUGUUAUAACUAGUGCCAUCACCGCAGCAUCAUGUCUAAGAUAACCAUAAGGCUGAUGUUACUGACGCUAAUGCCCUCACUCCCCUUGGCUUCACAAUGCACCUGCACUGAACCGGGUGACAUGUCGUCCAUGUACCGACCUGUAUAUUCAGCUUAUACUUAUCAACCGAGCUGAUGCUAUGACUCCACUUCAGAGUGCACAUAUCAAGGCAGAUCCUACUGGACUGGCAUGAUUAAGGCUUAUUAUGUAUCUGGCAUCAAGUGCUAUGGCACACCAGGCAAGCUAGUGUGCUGGACCAAGCAAACACACUAUGGGAUGAGUGAUGGAGGAGGAGUACAGGACCAGGCAUGCUGGCAAGUAGUCCAACAAGCAGUCCAGAGGCAACACCAAAAGUUAUUACCUACCCAGGAGCCAAUAAAGCUUCUAUCUUUAGCCGAGCCUCAGGAUCUAGACCCACAAAUAGAUGAGCUGUUGGCUGCAGUCCAUGGGAUUCUCAAUCAUUCCAAUCCAGACAUGGCUAAAGAUUGCUGGUUAUGCUUACAUCCUGGCCCCAUCCAGCACCUGGCUUUACCUUUGACAAACUUCACUAAGACUUUCACUAUGACUAAUAGCGAUGCUGCCUCUACCACUAGAAGUUCCAGGCUAAACUCCGUACAGCUCGCCUACAAGGCACCAGAAUGUUAUUUCAAUAAUGGAACUAAUCCUUUAGAGGGCAAUCUAACUAUAAAACAAUGUAUUAAAACCUCACACUAUAUGGGUCUAGGGUGCCAACCCACACAAGGAUGCUGUUCUAAUAACAGGACUUAUUUUGUGUGUAGCGAAUUUGCCUACCAGUGCCUCCCCACCAGUUGGGCAGAGUUAUGUGCUUUAGCUUACCUCAUUCCCUGAAUGGACAUUAUGCCUAAUAAUCAAAGUCUGCCUAUCCCUGUCAUAACUCACCAGCAUCCACGAAGGAUAAAAUGACCCAUACUACUGAUCCCCUUGCUAGUGGGGCUCCGAGUGGCAACAGGGGUAGGCACAGGAAUCGGUGGCAAAGCCUCAUCCUCUUAUUCCUAUUAUCAGCUUACAGGUGAGUUCAGCCAAGAUCUCCAAUGAAUAGCAGAAACCCUGAGAGCUCUGCAAAAUCAGAUUGACUCUCUAGCCAAGGUGGUCUUACAAAACAGGAGGGGUCUGGACCUACUGACGGCCAAAGAGAGGGGAAUGUGCCUCUUCCUAAAUGAAGAGUGCUGCUUUUAUGCCAAUCAAUCAGGAAUUGUCAGAGGGAUGAUUCAAGAGUUACAAGACAGAGUGGAAAAGAGGAAGCAUAUUUUAGGCAAGAGCCCAAAGACAGGCCCCUGGAGCUGGAUCUCCUGGCUGGCACCGUUCACAAGUCCCUUGCUCCUAAUUUUUGCAGUUCUGCUGUUUAGGCCCUGUAUCCUAAACUUCCUGACCCACUUUGUCAGUGAGCAGAUAGAGGUUAUAAAACUCCAGAUGUUAGCCUUCAAUUAUGAGCCCCUGCAACAGAUAAGUGAUGAUGCUUACUCCAAGAAAGGUUGUGAAAGCAUCAAGAGAGGGGAAUGAGAAGGAAAAGCCGGGCUAGGCUAACAAGCUAACUCAUAAAUCUAAGUGUAAUAAGUGUCGGUUUACUCAUCUCAGUUCUGCUGUGCUAACUCGUAAAUCUGAAGUUUAGUAAGUGUCAGUUUACUGGGUUAACAAGUUAAUUUGUAAAUCCAAGGUCAACAAGUGUCAGUAACACGAUCUGUUCCUACAAGAUAAGUUCCAGUGUACUGAUUCCUUGCUUUUGCUGUUUGUGCCUUAUUGGCUAAUAGCCCAAUCCUUGUAAUUAACCCUAUAAAACCUCAUGCACAGGUCUUGAAGGUGCUCAGGGCUUUGAAGCAGAAGCCCUUCUGAGCCUGCUGACAUAAUAAAUCUGAGUACUCCAACCCUCCAA